rnacentral:rRNA from 1 species
GGUCAAGGGAAUAAGGGCGUAGGGUGGAUGCCUUGGCAUCAAUGGCCGAAGAAGGGCGCGGCAAGACUGCGAAAAGCCUCAGCGAGCUGUCUAGCUAGCUUAACUGAGGAUUCCCGAAUGGAGCAAUCCGCUUAGGUAAAACCUAAGCACUCGCUUUUAGCGAGAGGGAACCGGGUGAACUGAAACAUCUAAGUAACCCGAGGAAAAGAAAUCAAAAUGAAAUUCCCUUAGUAGUGGCGAACGAAAGGGGAAGAGCCUAAACCAGGGUAGCUAAGUGGGCUUGAACCCUAAGCUAUUCUGGGGUUGUAGGGCACAGGAAACAGAUUUCAAGAUCUGUUACAGAGUUACAAAACUUUGUCUUAGCUGAAUGCUUCUGGAAAGGGUAACCGAAGAAGGUGAUAGUCCCGUAGGCAAAAGGCGAAGUCUCUGCUUGUGUUCCUGAGUACCACGGGGCACGAGGAACCUUGUGGGAAGCUGGGGGGACCACCCUCCAAGGCUAAAUACCAUUGAUGACCGAUAGUGGACCAGUACCGUGAGGGAAAGGUGAAAAGAACCCCGGGAGGGGAGUGAAAUAGAACCUGAAACCCUAUGCCUACAGGCAGUCAGAGGUCUGCCUUUGGUGGACUAAUGGCGUGCCUAUUGAAGAAUGAACCGACGAGUUGAUCUACGUGGCCAGGUUAAGCAACUUUAGUUGUGGAGCCGCAGCGAAAGCGAGUCCGAAUAGGGCGUAGCUAGUCCUGAAACAAGUUCAGGAUCUCUAGCAGGUCGUGUGGAUCAGACCCGAAACCGCGUGAUCUAUCCAUGGUCAGAGUGAAACUCAAGUAAAAUUGAGUGAAGGCUUGAACCUAUGAGUGUGGCAAAACUCCAGGAUGAACUGUGGAUAGUGCAGGUGAAAUGCCAAACGAACGCGGAAAUAGCUGGUACUCCCCGAAAUGCAUUUAGGUGCAGCCUCAGGAAGUAACUUGUGGAGGUAGAGCUCUGAAUGAAUUAGGGGCCGUGAGGUACUCUAAUUCAACCAAACUACGAAUGCCAUAGGUGCAAUCCUGGGAGUGAGACUGUGAAGGCUAAGCUCCAUAGUCGAGAGGGAAACAGCCCAGACCAUCAGCUAAGGUCCCUAAUGCAAGCUAAGUGGGAAAAGAAGUAGUGUUGCUAAAACAACCAGGAGGUUGGCUCAGAAGCAGCCACCCUUUAAAGAGUGCGUAACAGCUCACUGGUCAAGUAAUACUGCACUGAUAAUUUAACGGGGCUCAAGCUUGCUACCGAAGCUAUGGCAUGGUCAGAAAUGACCAUGGGUAGGGGAGCAUUGUCAUGGCUGUGAAGCUCUGAUGUAAAUCAGGGUGGAGCAAUGACAAGUGAGAAUGUCGGUAUGAGUAGCGUAAAGGCAUGUGAAAACCAUGCCCACCGUGAACCUAAGGUUUCCUACGCAACGUCAAUCGGCGUAGGUUUAGUCAGGACCUAAGCUGAACCCUAAUGGGGUAGGCGAUGGAUAAUGGGUUAAUAUUCCCAUACUACCUGGUUUUCGUUUUAAGGCAAAGAGGGGACCCAGAAAGGUGGGCUGAGCAUACCUAUUGGACAUGGUGUGUUUCCAACUCAAGGCGUAUCAGAGCAGGCAAAUCCACUCUGGUGCUAAGCUGAGGGGAGGGAAAAAUUGAGGGGCGACCCGAGAUAAUUCAGCUGAGCCUAUGCUGGCGAGAAAAGCCUCGUUGCUAGAAAGCCAGGUACCUGUACCGCAAACCGCCACUGGUAGGUGGGGAUAAAUGUCCCAAGGUGUUCGAGAGAACCCUCGUUAAGGAACUCGGCAAUCUAACCCCGUAACUUCGGGAGAAGGGGGCCCGCCUGAAUAAGGCGGGGACACAAAAUUGGCUCAGGCGACUGUUUAACAAAAACACAGGUCUCUGCUAAAGCGAAAAAGCUGAAAUAUAGAGGCUGAUACCUGCCCAGCGCCAGAAGGUUAAAGGGAGAGGUUAGGGUAGUAAUAUCCGAAGCUUUGAGCUGAAGCCCUGGUAAGCGGCGGCCGUAACUAUAACGGUCCUAAGGUAGCGAAGUCCCUUGUCGGGUAAGUUCCGACCUGCACGAAUGGUGCAACGACCUGAGCGCUGUCUCAACGAGGGGCUCGGUGAAAUUGAAAUGGGGGUGAAGAUGCCCUUUACCCGCGAUUGGACAAAAAGACCCUAGCAGCUUUACUAUAACUUGGCAUUGGAUUUAGGUUGAACAUGUGUAGAAUAGGUGGGAGGCUAAGAAACCGGGGCGUCAGCUUCGGUGGAGCCGACAGUGAAAUACCACUCUUGUUUAACUUUGGUUCUAACCCGCCUUAAGGCGGGGACAAUGCCUGGCGGGUAGUUUAACUGGGGCGGUUGCCUCCUAAAAGGUAACGGAGGCGUCCAAAGGUUCCCUCAGCACGGAUGGAAAUCGUGUAUUGAGUGCAUUGGCAUAAGGGAGCUUGACUGUGAGACCUACAAGUCGAGCAGGGACGAAAGUCGGGCAAAGUGAUCCUACGGCACUGUGUGGAAGGGCCGUGGCUUAUCGGAUAAAAGCUACGCUAGGGAUAACAGGCUUAUCUUGCCCAAGAGUUCAUAUCGACGGCAAGGUUUGGCACCUCGAUGUCGGCUCGUCGCAUCCCGGGGCUGAAGUCGGUCCCAAGGGUCGGGCUGUUCGCCCGUUAAAGCGGCACGUGAGCUGGGUUCAAACCGUCGUGAGACAGGUUGGUCUCUAUCCAUCGUGGGCGCUGGAGAUUUGAGGGGAGCUGUCCUUAGUACGAGAGGAUUAGGAUGGACAGACCGCUGGUGUGUCAGUUGUCCUGCCAAGGGCAGUGCUGAGUAGCUAUGUCUGGAGGGGAUAAGCGCUGAAAGCAUCUAAGUGCGAAGCUCACCCCAAGAUGAGAUCUCCCACCGGAUACGGGUUCUAGCAAAAUUUAUUUUGCUGGAGCUUAACCGGGUAAGGCCGCAAGUAGACUACUUGCUUGAUAGGCGGCGUGUGUAAGCGGAGUAAUCCGUUAAGCUUAGCCGUACUAAUGGCCGAGGCCUUGACC